AACGAACGCUGGCGGCAUGCCUAACACAUGCAAGUCGAACGAAGGCUUCGGCCUUAGUGGCGCACGGGUGAGUAACGCGUGGGAAACUGCCUAUUGGUGGGGAAUAACGACGGGAAACUGUCGCUAAUACCGCAUAAGCCCUUCGGGGGAAAGAUUUAUCGCUGAUAGAUGUGCCCGCGUCCGAUUAGCUAGUUGGUGAGGUAAUGGCUCACCAAGGCGACGAUCGGUAGCUGGUCUGAGAGGAUGAUCAGCCACACUGGGACUGAGACACGGCCCAGACUCCUACGGGAGGCAGCAGUGGGGAAUAUUGGACAAUGGGCGAAAGCCUGAUCCAGCAAUGCCGCGUGAGUGAUGAAGGCCUUAGGGUUGUAAAGCUCUUUCGGGUGGGACGAUGAUGACGGUACCACCAGAAGAAGCCCCGGCUAACUUCGUGCCAGCAGCCGCGGUAA
rnacentral:rRNA from 1 species